GCUAUGGCCCCACAUGGAUUUGAACCUGUCCUCAGUAUCAUGUGUAGAUCGUACAACCAUCAUAUAUGUGGAGCAUUUCCGUAGAUAUAUGACAUUUUUUAACAGAAAGGAAACAGAUGCAGUUCCAUAUAGGAUAUAGUGUUACUGCGUCACCCUUCCAAAGGACCAUUAGAUUAUACAGCAUAUGUGUGUGUAAUAUAUUGCGUGAACUUCACAGUUUAAACAGAGGUAGCAUAUGUAGUUCGUAAUGGGAUAUAGCUAGUUGCUAGUUACUGGGCAGCCCUUCCAAGUGCUAUUAGAUUGCAGAAAGUGUUGGAUUAUGUGGUCAAAUAGGAAAAAACACAUACCAAGUAGCUAUAUUAGUUUAGAAGAUACUCACUUGUUGCAAUGGUACGUGCAGGUUGGCAUAUUAAUAUAACUAUAUUUGAACAUGAUAACACGGUGUUUACUCUCCAAAGUUUUGAGUCUAACUUCUACUGUUUUGUAGUUCUUCCCUUCCAAACAGGGGAAGAGGCCCUAGAUUCCCUCAAAAGGGGGGGUUGUUAAAGAUGAGGAGCUUGAUUUGAUAGUAGCGGAAGUUCAUCCUGGCAAUACAGAGGUGGGCACCUUGCGGCUGUUUCACCACAUCCUGAGUGAACUUGAAGUGCCUCUUAUCACUAUGUGUGCCUAUGAUGAGGCAGUCUCUGCACGCAUGACCCUUGGAACAUGCUUCAAUGUGGUUAAGCCGUUGGAUACUGAAACCGUCAAUUUUCUGAGGAUGAGAGCACUGCAACACAGGUCUAUCAAAAAUCACAGGUCUGUGACUGAGGAUGAAGAACAAGAUGCGAUAAACGCGAAUGUCUAUCCAUAUAAUCUGGGUCGGUUCAUAUGGAGCAGUGAACUCCAUGAAAAGUUCUUGCAGGCUGUUGAAGUGCUUGGGGCGUGUAAGGCUAUCUGCACUUAGCAUAAAUUAGUCAUUUGUGAUGUUUAA